AACGAACGCUGGCGGCAUGCCUAACACAUGCAAGUCGAACGGAAACGCCGGCUCUCCUUGCGCGCGGGCGGGUAACGCGGGGGAAAACGGCCGAAUAAUACGAAAAACACCUCGACAGGGGUGCUAAUAAAGGCUAAGGUACUCGGACCAAAGACUGAUCGCCCUUGGGUGGGCCGGCGUUGGAUUAGCCAGUUGGUAGGGUAAAAGCCGACCAAGGCGACGCUCCCUAGCUGGUUUGUGAGGCUGAUCAGCCACACUGGGACGGAGGCACGGCCGCGUCUCCUACGGGAGGCAGCAGUGGGGAAUCUUGGUGCAUGGGCGCAAGCCUGAUCCAGCCGUGCCGCGUGUGUGAUGCAGGCCUUAGGGUUGUAAAGCUCUUUUGGCCGGGAGGAUAAUGACGGUACCGGGAGAAUAAGCACCGGCUAACUCCGUG
rnacentral:rRNA from 1 species